AGGGUGUAAACGCUGCAGACUUGGUGUUGGGAACCCUUCGGGGGUGCUCAGUGCCGGAGAGAAGUUGUUAAGUCUGCUACUUGGGGAGUACGUCCGCAAGGAUGAAACUUAAAGGAAUUGGCGGGGGAGCACCGCAACGGGAGGAGCGUGCGGUUUAAUUGGAUUCAACGCCGGGAAGCUCACCGGAUAAGACAGCGGAAUGAUUGCCGGGCUGAAGACUCUGCAUGACUAGCUGAGAGGAGGUGCAUGGCGUAGACGUCU
rnacentral:rRNA from 1 species